UACGAACCGUCCAAACGUUAUUCGGAAUCACUGGGCUUACAGAGUUCGUAGGCGGUGGGGUAAGUCGGGUGUGAAAGCCCUCGGCCUAACCGAGGAAUUGCGCCCUAAACUGCUUCGCUGGAGGAGGAUAGAGGUGAGCAGAACUGAUGGUGGAGCGGUGAAAUGCGUUGAUAUCAUCAGGAAUACCGGAGGCGAAGGCGGCUCACUGGGGCCUGUCUGACGCUGAGGAACGAAAGCUAGGGGAGCGAACAGG
rnacentral:rRNA from 1 species